rnacentral:rRNA from 1 species
GAGUACAGGAGAGGAGAGUGGAAUUCCUGGUGUAGCGGUGAAAUGCGUAGAUAUCAGGAGGAACACCGGUGGCGAAGGCGACUCUCUGGCCUGAUACUGACACUGAGAUGCGAAAGCUAGGGGAGCGAACGGGAUUAGAUACCCCGGUAGUCCUAGCCGUAAACGAUGGGCACUGGGUGUAGGAGGUAUUCAAUCCUUCUGUGCCGUAGCUAACGCGUUAAGUGCCCCGCCUGGGGAGUACGGCCGCAAGGCUGAAACUCAAAGGAAUUGACGGGGGCCCGCACAAGCGGUGGAGCAUGUGGCUCAAUUCGAGGCAACGCGAAGAACCUUACCGGGGCUUGACAUGCUGGUGGUACUGACCCGAAAGGGAAGGGACCCGGAAACGGGAGCCAGCACAGGUGCUGCAUGGCUGUCGUCAGCUCGUGUCGUGAGAUGUCGGGUUAAGUCCUACAACGAGCGCAACCCUUGUCCUUAGUUACCGUCCGGCUUUGUCGGACACUCUAGGGAGACCGCCUGCGCUAAAGCGGGAGGAAGGUAGGGACGACGUCAAGUCCUCAUGGCCCUUAUGUCCCGGGCUGCACACGUGCUACAAUGGCCAGUACAGAGAGCAGCUAAGCCGCGAGGUGGGGCUAAUCUCAAAAAACUGGCCCCAGUUCAGAUUGGAGGCUGAAAUUCGCCUCCAUGAAGGAGGAAUCGCUAGUAAUCGCGGAUCAGCAGGCCGCGGUGAAUACGUUCCCGGGCCUUGUACACACCGCCCGUCACACCAACCGAGUUAAGUGUACCCGAAGCUUCGCCUGAGGCGGAUCGAAGGUAUGCUUGAUAAGGGGGGUGAAGUCGUAACAAGGU